GGGAUAAGUGCUGAAAGCAUCUAAGCAUGAAGCCCCCCUCAAGAUGAGAUUUCCCAACUUCGGUUAUAAGAUCCCUCAAAGAUGAUGAGGUUAAUAGGUUCGAGGUGGAAGCAUGGUGACAUGUGGAGCUGACGAAUACUAAUCGAUCGAAGACUUAAUCAA
rnacentral:rRNA from 1 species